rnacentral:rRNA from 1 species
UGGGGAAUAUUGCACAAUGGAGGGAACUCUGAUGCAGCGACGCCGCGUGAACGAAGAAGGCUUUCGAGUCGUAAAGUUCUUUUAUAUGGGAAGAUAAUGACGGUACCAUAAGAAAAAGCCCCGGCUAACUACGUGCCAGCAGCCGCGGUAAUACGUAGGGGGCUAGCGUUGUCCGGAAUCACUGGGCGUAAAGGGUUCGCAGGCGGAAAUGAAAGUCAGGUGUAAAAGGCAGUAGCUUAACUACUGUAAGCAUUUGAAACUGCAUAUCUUGAGAAGAGUAGAGGUGAGUGGAAUUUUUAGUGUAGAGAUGAAAUGCGUAGAUAUUGGGAGGAACACCAGUAGCGAAGGCGGCUUUCUGGACUGGAACUGACACUGAGGCGCGAAAGCGUGGGUAGCAAACAGG